rnacentral:lncRNA from 1 species
AUGUUGGACUCUCAGGAGCAGAAUGACUCUGGAACACUUGAGAGGCAGCUUCUUCCAAACCUCCUUGAAUUCUCCUUUAAAACUCUCCAGCAAAUGCUGACCUGGGGAUUUGAAAACAGCACACUAAAAUGGAGAUAUCAACUCACUUCCUGGACUUUAAACUUUAUGGUUCUGUGGCUGGAAUGCAGCCAUCUAGUUCUCAAAGGUGCUUCCACGGGGACCAUAUUGUUACUGGGGAUUUGAAGAAUACGGUGAAGUGAAUCAAGCAGGCUCCCGAACGCCAGCUGAGAGGCUCGGGCCAAGUGAGGAGAAGAGGGAGAACAGCGGCCUUCCUCGAAGAGGCUGUUCUCUAGGAAUCUCAACUACAAAAGUUGCCUGACCCACUGGCAGGACUGCCUUCCUCUGCUGGAGAGAGGGCUGGACUUAAGCCUGUGCAGUCUUUGCCUGUUGGCUAGAUCCCGGGGCAUGGGAGAGGGAGACUGUGUAUUAGCCUGUUAUCAUUAUGGGGAAUUAAGCAGUAGAGAUGCACUUAGAAGUAACCAUUGCUGGAUCCUAGUUCUCUUCUACAAACAGGCUGUAAGACUGUAUUUGAGAGGGCCGGGGGCGGUGGCUCACGCAUGUAAUCCCAGCACUGUGGGAGACUGAGAUGGGUGGAUCACCUGAGGUCAGGAGUUUGAGACCAGCCUGGCCAACAGGGUGAAACCCAGUAGCUACUAAAAAUACAAAAAAGUAGCCAGGUGUGAUGGCACACACCUGUAAUCCCAGCUACUUGGGAGGCUGAAGCAGGAGAAUUGCUUGAACCUGGGAGGCGGAGGUUGCAGUGAGUAGAGAUUGCGCCAUUGCACUCCAGCCUGGGCAACAAGAGUGAAACUCUGUCUCAAAAAAACAGAAACAAGACAGUAUUUGAGCUCCUUAGAGAUAGUAUUAAACGCCAUAAUUUUUUGCUGGUAUUGCCAUUGUGUGGAUGUGGUGAAGGUCCUUUCUGUAGCCAGUGGUGCCCAGGCUGAGGCAGAGAGUUUACAUGGCAGGAAGACUCUCUUCCUUCAGGUGCUGUGAGCAAGAGUUAAUAUUGCUUCAAGGAAUUGUCCAAAAGUGACAAUGGUGUGUUAAGAAACCUCUCUUUGAGACAGAACUCAGAGGAAGGAUAACUUGUCUGUUGAAACCAAGAGACAAAUACUUGAAUACUUUCUGGUGCCAGAGAGCUUUUAAAAAACAUUCAAUGCUGCGAACAUUGCUAGGCACCUCCUAUAUAUGUCAGGAAAUGUACUAAGUGAUCAGGGACAGAAAGAUAAGUGGGGCAUAAUCCCUAAACUUACAGAGUUUAGAUCUGGGUAAUCCGAGUCUGAAGACUGCAAGAGAAUAUGACAGAAUGCUACUUCUCAGUAGUGAGAUUACAGCUAAUAUUAUUAGUAAACAUUUUUUUUUUUUUUGAGACAGAGUUUCACUCUUUCACCCAGGCUGGAGUACAGUGGCAUGAUCUUGCCUCACUGCAGCCUCCACUUCUGGGGUUCAAGUGAUUCUCCUGCCUCAGCCUCCAGAGUAGCUGGGAUUACAGGCGCCCAGCACCAUGUCCAGCAAAUUUUUGUAUUUUCAGUAGAAAUGGGGUUUCACCACCUUGGCCAGGCUAAUCUUGAACUCCUGACCUCGUGACCCACCUUGGUCUCCCAAAGUGCUGGGAUUACAGGCGUGAGCUACCAUGCCUGGCCUAUUAUGAUUAAAUUUUUUGGACAUGAUAGGAUCCUGUAGCUGAGUAGUUUUGAAACCUUGGGGGUUAUCAAGUGAGUGGAUGCUGAGGAGAGUGGGCUGCCUUUUUAAACAUGCUGCUCUUUUUCUCUUUGCAAGGGGUAGAAAUUUGAAUUUAUCUUCAGGGGUAGAUUCUUCUGGAAUUCCCUUAUGGUUCCUUAGCCAGUUUUGUUGACUCUCACAUCUUGGUCAUACCUGUGGAAACUAGGAGAAAAGGCAGCUAUGCCUCCAGGUGAGGCGAAGCCCUUGGGGCAGGAAUGCACAGAGAUGAUUGCAGCCAGGGGAGUCAUGGACAGGAACUAAACUGUGGCUGAGGGGCACGUGCCAGCAGAGAGAGACGUGCGGCAAUGUUAGUAUUCAUCUGGAAUGUGCAGGAAGAGUCUGGGAGAGGAAACUGGACGAUGCUUGGACUUCCUGAGCCUAUAGAGUUUGCUGGUUAGUGGAUCAUGGCCUCUUAGCCCCAGGUUCAUCCUUUUUUGCAUUCUCUACAAAAAUGGAUCUAGCCCUUUUAUUUUUCUUCAUUAUUAUUAUUAUUAUUAUUUUGAGAUGGAGUCUCACUCUGCCACCCAGGGUGGAGUGCAGUGGCAAGAUUUCGGCUCACUGCAGCCUCUGUCUCCUGGGUUCAAGUGAUUCUCCUGCCUCAGCCCCCUGAGUAGAUGGGAUUACAGGUGCCCACCACCACACCCGGCUAAUUUUUGUAUUUUUAGUAGAGCCAUGGUCUCACCAUGUUGACCAGGCUGGUAGUAUUUUUGAAAUGGAAUCUCACUCAGUUGCCCAGGCUGGAGUGCAGUGGCGUGAUCUCAGCUCACUGCAACCUCUACCCCCAGGUUCAAGUGAUUCUCCUGCCUCAGCCUCCUGAAUAGCUGAGAUUACAAGCACACACCAGAAUGCCUGGCUAAUUUUUGUAUUUUUAGUACAGUUUGGGUUUCGCCACGUUGGCCAGGCUGGUCUCAAACUCCUAACCUCCACCUGCCUAGGUGUCCUGAAAUGCUGGGAUUACUGACGUGAGCCACCGCACCCAGCUGGAUUAGGUCUUUUCAACAACGGCCUUUGCCAGCUGGCUUUUUGUU